UUUCACUUUUGCCAGCCGUUUGCUCCGCCAUUUCUUCAGGUGUUAAUGUGCGUGAUUGAAUAAAGACCACAUUUAAUACCUUGCACAUAACUGAAUGAUGCCAAAUAUGCAAACAAAUAUAAAGAGUUGAACUGUU